rnacentral:rRNA from 1 species
GUAAUGAUCUUUCCGUAGGUGAACCUGCGGAAGGAUCAUUACCUAGAGUUGUAGGCUUUGCCUGCUAUCUCUUACCCAUGUCUUUUGAGUACCUUCGUUUCCUCGGCGGGUCCGCCCGCCGAUUGGACACAUUUAAACCCUUUGUAGUUGCAAUCAGCGUCUGAAAAACUUUAAUAGUUACAACUUUCAACAACGGAUCUCUUGGUUCUGGCAUCGAUGAAGAACGCAGCGAAAUGCGAUAAGUAGUGUGAAUUGCAGAAUUCAGUGAAUCAUCGAAUCUUUGAACGCACAUUGCGCCCCUUGGUAUUCCAUGGGGCAUGCCUGUUCGAGCGUCAUUUGUACCUUCAAGCUUUGCUUGGUGUUGGGUGUUUGUCUCGCCUCUGCGCGCAGACUCGCCUCAAAACAAUUGGCAGCCGGCGUAUUGAUUUCGGAGCGCAGUACAUCUCGCGCUUUGCACUCAUAACGACGACGUCCAAAAAGUACAUUUUUUACACUCUUGACCUCGGAUCAGGUAGGGAUACCCGCUGAACUUAAGCAUAUCAAUAAGCGGAGGGAAUGUUCUAC